rnacentral:tRNA from 1 species
GCAGUGGUGGUUCAGUGGUGGAGUUCUUGCCUUCUGUGCAGGAGACCCAGGUUCGAUUCCCGGCCAGUGCA